CAUAGGAUCUUUUCAGAAAAGCUGGUGUGAGACAUACGGCUUACAUUAGGACGACAGAAAGCAGACAUAAAGCAGUCGUUUGCAAGAUAUGGGCUGAGCUGGAAGCAAGCGGUCACAUCUACAAGGGAACGUACAACGGCUGGUACUGUGUGGCUGACGAAAGCUUUGUGCCGCAAUCUCGCGUUGAAGAAAUCGUGGAUGAUGCAGGCAUACCAAUCAAGGUGUCGUUGGAGUCGGGGCAACCCGUCGAAUGGAUCUGCGAGAAUAACUAUAUGUUCCGGCUCUCUGCAUUUGCAGACGACCUUCUUCGAUGGCUGAGCA